rnacentral:rRNA from 1 species
CUACGGGUGGCAGCAGUGGGGAAUAUUGGACAAUGGGCGAAAGCCUGAUCCAGCCAUGCCGCGUGUGUGAAGAAGGCCUUCGGGUUGUAAAGCACUUUCAGUGGGGAAGAAAGCCUUGGGGCUAAUACCCUCGAGGAAGGACAUCACCCACAGAAGAAGCACCGGCUAACUCCGUGCCAGCAGCCGCGGUAAUACGGAGGGUGCGAGCGUUAAUCGGAAUUACUGGGCGUAAAGCGCGCGUAGGCGGUCUGAUAAGCCUGUUGUGAAAGCCCCGGGCUCAACCUGGGAACGGCAUCCGGAACUGUCAGGCUAGAGUGCAGGAGAGGAAGGUAGAAUUCCCGGUGUAGCGGUGAAAUGCGUAGAGAUCGGGAGGAAUACCAGUGGCGAAGGCGGCCUUCUGGACUGACACUGACGCUGAGGUGCGAAAGCGUGGGUAGCAGACAGGAUUAGAUACCCUAGUAGUC